rnacentral:hammerhead_ribozyme from 1 species
AUCCAGUUGAUGUGUCCUAAAUAAGACAAAACGCGAGUUCUGGAU